rnacentral:rRNA from 1 species
UACGUAGGGUGCGAGCGUUGCCCGGAUUUAUUGGGCGUAAAGGGCGCGCAGGCGGCCACGCGCGUCCGUUGUGAAAUCGCUCGGCUCAACUGGGCGAGGUCAGCGGAUACGGCGUGGCUGGAGCAAGCUAGGGGGCAAUGGAAUUCCCGGUGGUAGUGGUGGAAUGCGUAGGAUAUCGGGAGGAACACCAGUGGCGAAGGCGGUUGCCUGGAGCUUUGCUGACGCUGAGGCGCGAAAGCGUGGGGAGCGAUCCGG